ACUGCUGCCUCGCCGGCUGGCUAGGUCACUCUGUAACUAAGGCUUUUGCCUAUUAAAUACCCUUAUAUUUCUACUUGGCUCCGUAUUGGUAAUUUCCCACUAUAGAGAUUCACCAAGAAGUCAUGCCGCGGAGCUAGCCCAAGAGAGGGCUAUGUGUGCAGGUGGCAGAACUGGGGCUCAUAGUUAUGAAAUUGCCUCAGUGAAUGUCUGAAGGGACUGCACUUACAUAUUUGAACAGCGUUGAGACUGUUAAGAACAACUGGGGCUUUUGAAGUUGGACUGGAUGCAUUUUGCAUUAUGAGAUGCCCAUGAGCUUGUGGGGAUAAAAGAUGCCAAGCUUGGAGACACAGCUUUCCUGUUUUCUAAGAAGAGCAAAGAUUAAAACGAAGCUGUCUUGGGAUCAUUCCGAAGCUCCAGAAAACAAAGUGAGCUGGAGGACGCGGACAAAGAGCAGAUCACUAAAACAGCUUUCUACAGGAAGCAGAAGCAUGCCUUAGGAGACGUCUGCUCUGUGUCCACAAAGAUGAGGCAGGAGAACCUGAAUUAUACAACACAGUGAAAAAGCCACAAAGAAAGCAUGAGUUACAUGGGGCAGGGUUGGGGGAGCAAAUAGCUCUAGAGGUAGAGUUCAGGGUGUCAUUCCUCUGGCAGCAGACAUCCAAGUAUGACAGGUUGGGUGGCCCCUGCAGGCAGUCUGUUCAGCUUAGCACAUGCAGGACACAAGCCACUCAGCAUGGGUCCUGUCACUCUGCAUCCCACUCCUGCCCACUCCUACUGCCCAGGCCUUCCCAGAAGGUUGCCUGGAAAGCAGAGUGCCAUGAAUUCUGACCUCUCCACUCUUCCAUCUUUGCAGGGAAGGCUGCCUUGGAGCCAGCUUCCCAUGAAGGCCCCUUCCAGGGUUACAUGGGCCUCCUCUAAAGAUGUAUAGGCAAAGUUUAAAAAACCCCAAUACUAUAAAAACCAGACAAGACUGAAAAAGGACAACAAAUCCACCAUAUCGGUUUUCAUUUGUAAUAAAGGCCAGUGUUCCUCCAGGAAAUGGACUGACUCCAAGAAAAAGGAGAAAUCAUUCAAAAAUCCAGAUUUGGAAUCUCAGGAAAAUGUCAGAGAAAUGUAAGUCUAUGAAAGACAAUAUGUGAUGAGAAAAAUAUUUAAAUUGAAAAACAUAGUUAUCCCCAGUAAAAAUGUGCAGAAGUAUCGGGGAGCGUAUCAGGUGGAGAAACCUGCAUGGGCAAACAGUUGGUGGGAAUUACUGGGUAGCUGUUACAGCAUAGCGCCAAAGGCCUCCCUCAGGGAAGGAAAGUUACAAAGGCAUAAAGAGGAUGCAGACCAAGUUGAGAACCAACGAGAGACCCAGGACAGACGGCAGUGACAGAGUUGUGGGCUUGAGGCACAGUGCUCAGGGCUGUCAAAUGGAACAAAACCAGAAGUGGUAAAAGGACAGGCAGGCACAGCUGGAAAACCCCCAAAGACCCUAAAACAGUUCUUCCUGUCACAGAAAAAUAUGCCUUGCUGCAGAGGCUUCAGUAGUGACUGCCGAGAGGCUGUGGCUGUCAUGUAAGAACACAUCACCUUCUCCUGAGGAUGUUCUUGAUCUUGCUGCAGGAAGGAAUAUAACGUUUUCAAGUUUCUUUAAAGGAGAUGGCACAAACCUGAAUAGAAUCAUAGUAAAAACAGUGAUUAAAACAUAGAACUCUGAAAGUCUCCAGGAUGAAAAUGGUGUGGUGUGGACUCUGUUCCCUCCAGCCACAGGCAGACAGAACUGUAGUCAGUGUCCCACCAGGACUUCUGUACAGAACAUAAACAAAAGGCUUUAAGGUUUAUCUAGACCCAUAAAGAAAGUUCUAGAAAAAAACCUGGUUAAAUUGUCUGGUAAAUUGCUGUAGCUAUUAAAGAACCGUUGGUGUGUUUCAAUGAUCAGGAUAGCCUUGAAAUGACCUCAGGGAAGGCGGGGCAGAAACACAUGCCUUAAAAUGUGGAUACACAUAGGAGAUUUCCUAAAUAAUAAGGGUGACAUUAAAUCACGCUAGGAAAGGGCUAUUACCCAGUAAAAUAUAUUAGCACAACUCAUUAUGCAUUUGGCAAAACACUGGCCACAAAAUUACAGCAGUAAUAAACUGUGAUCGUUAUCAAGUUAAUUAAAUGCAAGAUAGAAAGCCACAGAGCAUUAGAAAGAAGUACAGGGCAAUACUUGUAAUCUUGAGCCAGAACCUCAAAGCUUGAAGGGCGGUGGAUAGAACUAACUGUAUAAACAAACAGGCAAAUACCACAACGACUACCAAAGCAUCUUCAGGAUGGAAAACAUGACAAUAAGCAUUA